rnacentral:lncRNA from 1 species
GACACAUCAAUCUUCAUCAUCUUUAAAUAAAAAGGAUAAACAUGAUGGAUUUCCAUUAUCUCAAGCAAAAACAAAGAGUUCAAAAUAUUGGUGGUAAGAACUGUCAAAAACUUGUGAUAGCUAUGAUGAAGAGUUUUAUGACAAAUUCACUCAUGGCCAAAUCUAAUAUGGCAGCUGGAAAAGGCAAAGAAUCUUUUUAGUAUAACCAAGCUAUACAACUUAAUAAAAGUUUGUGCAUCGACUUCUCACAAAUUAUACACAGAGUCGAUUGUCGAUGCAAUAAUUGCUGAUUCGUGAAAGCGGGCAACUUUUGCUUGUCUUAAAGUGCCUUAAAUCUAACAGAUAUCAUCGUUAUAAUAUUACUUUGUUUGUAAAUUGUUUUAAAAAAUAAAUUUAAAAAUAACUUUUAAAUAAA